UACGUAGGGGGCAAGCGUUGUCCGGAAUUAUUGGGCGUAAAGAGCUCGUAGGCGGUCUGUCGCGUCGGUCGUGAAAACUUGGGGCUUAACCCUGAGCUUGCGGUCGAUACGGGCAUGACUGGAGUUCGGCAGGGGAGACUGGAAUUCCUGGUGUAGCGGUGAAAUGCGUAGAUAUCUGGAGGAACACCGGUGGCGAAGGCGGCAUCCUGGACCGGUAUUGACGCUGAGGCGCGAAAGCCAGGGGAGCAAACGGG
rnacentral:rRNA from 1 species